CCUCCCUCCCUCCCUCCUCCUCCUCAUGUGCCCUGGACACAUGGAGUUAACUUAAUGGGUUUUGUUAUUCUUUUUUGGAGGGUCACUUGAAGAGCUCUGCGGGUGAUGUCUUAGUGAAGUGGUUUGCUUUCACGUACGUCGAGAUAUCCGGAUAGCGGUGUUUUUUUUUCUGCGCCUCCUCUCACUGCGGUAUGCUAGCAACCUCCUCCUUAGCGCCAGAGGAGAAAUACAUGGGCCUAAAUCAUGUGUGUGUGAAGGGGUGUGUAUUUGUGUGUGUGUAGGGGUCUGUGUCUUUGUGUUUGUGUGUGUGAAGGGGUGUGUGUUUGUGUGUGAGUAGGGGUCUGUGUUUGUGUGUUUGUGUGUGUGAAGAGGUCUGUGUUUGUGUGUGUGUGGGGGUCUGUGUUUGUGUGUGUGUAGGGGUCUGUGUUUGUGUGUGUGUCUGUGAUUGUGCGUGUGUUUGUAGGGGUGUGUGUUUGUGUGUGUGUAGGGGUCUGUGUUUGUGUGUGUUUGUAGGGGUCUGUGUUUGUGUGAGUGUGUUUGUGUGAGUGUGUUUGUGUGCAUUUCAAUGUGUGUCUGUGUGUGUUGAACGUGGAUAUAAAGCAUGGCAAAGCAAAGAAGCAAACAAAGGACUCUGGGGGGGGGGGGGUAGGUGGGGUUCCACUCUGAAGAUCUCAGCUUCUGGCUCUCCUGGCCCGUAGAACCCAUGGAGGGGUAGAGUACAGACAUGAGGACACGAGGUCCCGGUAAUCCUCUUAUUAAAGAAAAACAACAGGUGUACACGAUCGCUGUCGGCCCCCGUGACCUCACUUAAACCAACCUCGCCGGGCCCCGGUACCCCCAAACCAAAACAUAGCGCCUUACCCCUUCAUCUCUGGAAGAUCACACACUGAGAGAGAGAGAGAGAGAGCAGGGGGUUGUAGGAUUAGGCAAAGAGGAGUAGAGAAUAACACAAGAGUAAAAGAACACAGAGAGAAGGUGUGCAUGUGAGUGUGUGUGCGUGUGUGUGUGUGUCUGUGUGCGGCAGGGACACACAGGCUUUGGACAAGGGAAGGAAUCCUUCUGAUGGGGAGAGUACAAGUAAGGGGUCCACCCUGUCCAGGAAAGCUGGCUAUGUUAUCCCACUCAGAUUACACACACACACACACACACACACACACACACACACACACACACACACACACACACACACGCGCACACACUUGAUCAGUUGAUCAGAGGGAUCAGCAGAGCAGUGGAAUUGGACGAAUGUGUUUGUUUGUGGGUGUUCCAUGUGUGGGUGUGUAUGUGUGGGUGUGAGUGUUUGUGUGUGUGUUUGUGUGCGGGGGCACUGAUCCUAUCGCCUCUUGUUGACCAAAAUUCAAGAGAAGCUCUGCAGAUGAGGAGGUGGCGGCGCCGGUGGGGGGGGGUAGUGCGAGGAGGGGGGGUGAAUGAGUCCGCGUGGGAGACCCUUUUUAGGAAGGGAGGCCUGUGCGGAGCUCCCUGUAAGGUCCUCUGGCGGCUGGCCCCCGUUCCCCAAACACACCGCCACGCUCCCCCGGCGAGCGAGCACUCGCCUCGGAGCGGUCGUAGGAAGCCCUCGGCGGGUGUGUUUACACCUCUCACCCAGGUCCCGAGUGGGACGGUCGGUCAACAACCCUCUUCCACUGAACUCCCCUCCCCUUCCCCAGGACUCUGGUGCGGGGCCGGUCAUCAACCCCCCC
ensembl:lncRNA